AUUGAACGCUGGCGGCAGGCCUAACACAUGCAAGUCGAACGAGUGGCGGACGGGUGAGUAAUGUCUGGGACACUGCCUGAUGGAGGGGUAUAACUACUGGAAACGGUAGCUAAUACCGCAUACCAUCGGAUGUGCCCAGAUGGGAGUAGCUAGUAGGUGGGGUAAAGGCUAACCUAGUCUACGAGCCCUAGCUGGUCUGAGAGGAUGACCAGCAACACUGGAACUGAGACACGGUCCAGACUCCUACGGGAGGCAGCAGUGGGGAAUAUUGCGAAAUGGGCGAAAGCCGGAUGCAGCCAUGCCGCGUGUAUGAAGAAGGCCUUCGGGUUGUAAAGUACUUUCAGCGGGGAGGCGUUACCCGCAGAAGAAGCACCGGCUAACUCCGUGCCAGCAGCCGCGGUAAUAC
rnacentral:rRNA from 1 species